rnacentral:rRNA from 1 species
UACGUAGGGGGCAAGCGUUGUCCGGAUUUAUUGGGCGUAAAGAGCGUGUAGGCGGCCAGGGAGGUCCGUUGUGAAAACUCGAGGCUCAACCUCGAGACGCCGAUGGAAACCCCCUGGCUAGAGUCCGGAAGAGGAGAAUGGAAUUCCUGGUGUAGCGGUGAAAUGCGCAGAUAUCAGGAGGAACACCAGUGGCGAAGGCGACUACCUGGCCUGUUCUUGACGCUGAGGCGCGAAAGCUAGGGGAGCAAACGGG